CAAUCCCAAAGUUGUUUUGAAAUUUUUAUUUAUUAAAUAAAAGUUUUCUAAUGAAACAACAAUAACAACAACAAAAAACAAAUGGUCACAAUGGCUGGAGUUGAGCCAAUACGAAGCCAGGAGCCAGGAGCUUCUUCCAGGUCUCCCAUGUGGGUGCAGGGGCCCAAGGAAGGCCCAUCUUCCACUGCCUUCCCAGGCCACAGCAGAGAGCUAGAUCAGAAGAGGAGCAGCCGGGACUCGAACUGGUGCCCAUAUGGAAUGCUGGCACUCCAGGCAGCAGCUUUACCCGCUAUGCCAUAGUGCCGGCCCCAAGGUUUUUAAUUCUGUAACGACAGGCCCAGCCUAUCAUUCCAGAACAGCUCUAAGAGGCUCUGGAGCGAACACCUAGAAGGCUUACUGCUAUUUCUUCUCUCACCCCCUGAUUAACUGCAUUUGACUAAAAAUAUAUUUGGGAAAGUCUUUGGACAAGUUGCUGAUAUGGUCACAGAGCUGACCUGAGGCAAGCACAGGGGUCCAGCGGCCCAGGGAUCUAGGCAAGUCAGGAGGCCGAGAAGGACUCAGGUCAGUUUUUUGAGAAUUCUCUGUUUAUUCAUUUUAUUCCAUACUUUCUCAGUUGUUUGGAAUGCAUAGCAAUUUUCCCACAUAAUGGAUUCUGGCCAUCUAUGAUUGUAACAUUUACAGUCUAGGUGACCUACCUGAGUGUGAACUGGAAGCCCAUUUUUUUUUUUUUUCACAGGCAGAGUGGACAGUGAGACAGAGAGACAGAGAGAAAGGUCUUCCUUUGCCAUUGGUUCACCCUCCAAUGGCCGCCGCGGCCGGCGCACCGCACUGAUCCGAAGGCAGGAGCCAGGUGCUUCUCCUGGUCUCCCAUGGGGUGCAGGGCCCAAGCACUUGGGCCAUCCUCCACUGCACUCCCGGGCCAUAGCGGAGAGCUGGCCUGGAAGAGGGGCAACCGGGACAGAAUCUGGUGCCCUGACCGGGACUAGAACCCGGUGUGCCGGCGCCGCAAGGCGGAGGAUUAGCCUAGUGAGCCACAGCGCCGGCCCGGAAGCCCAUUUUAUAAGGUAAAAUGCCUGGUUUUGUUGGGGGGCAUGAAUUCAAAUCGACCUGUACUGCAGGCAACUGCACCUGAGAUCAGUUACCUAGUGACCAAACUCAGCUUGCUGCCCAGCCUCUUCCUCUCACAGAGCCCUUUUCAUUCUUUCUUCUUGUUCCAGGUGAGAAGGUUUGAGAUGUUUCCUUGGUAAAUGCCAUGAUCCUGAAUUGCCUCAUGACCACAACCCUAGCCCAGUCUGGGCUUCCUACACAUGCAAGAUCAAAAAGAAGGCCCACAGAGCACCCACAACAGAACAGAAUCUGUCACACAUUAUUUUUUAUUUUAAAUAUUUAUCUUUAAAAAUACUUAUUUAUUUGAAAGUUAGAGUUACAGAGAGGCAGAAGCAGAGGCAGAGGCAGAGAGAGAGAGAGAGAGAGAGAGGUCUUCUAUCUGCUGGUUCACUCCCCAAAUAGUUGCAAUAGCCAGAGCUGGGUUGAUCUGAAGCCAGGAGCCUGGAGCUUCUUAUAGGUUUUUCAUGUGGGUGCAGGGGCCCCAAGUACUUGGGCCAUCCUCUGCUGCUUUUCCAGGCACAUUAUCAGGGAGCUGCAUUGGAAGUGGAGCAGCUGGGGCUCAAACUGGUGCCCAUAUGGGAUGCUGGCACUGUAGGCAGUGGCUUUACCCACUAUACCUCAGUGCUGGCCCCCUCUCACACAUUAUUUGUUUAUCUUUUAUUAGGGGCCUGGCCCUAUUCUAGGUGGCACAAGAAAUACAAAGAUGAAUAUGGCCCUCAAAGAAAGUACCACCAGCAGGAGAGAAAACCAAGAACUCAAAUGACUGUAUUUUGGAGCAAUGUCCAAUGACUACUCUGUGGUAUUUUCCAACACCGACAGCCAAUUUUCUGAUUCUGUGAACACCAACUGGGUUUUCAACAAUUCAAUUCAGUUCUAUCUUGUGGGGCAGGAAUGUUCUACUCUCCACGCAUGCGGAUGCAUUCACAAUUCAGAGGCUUUCUGAACCCCAUUAUUUAGGGGUUUUUUAGAGAUUCUACUACAUAGCAAUGAAGGGUUAAAUCCCUGGACAUUGGGAGUGAACUAUAUCUCCAGUUCCUCUCCCUUCUCUUGAGGUUGGAGGGCAGGUUUGAAAGUUCCGAACUUCUAAUCAAGGCUUGGUAUUUCUGGCAACCAGGCCCCCUCCUGAAGCAGUCCAGGGGUCCCUAGCCCCAGUCUCCUCAUAAGCAUACACAAGACAUUUUUGUCACUCUGCAAAUUCCAAGGUUUUAGAACCUGUGUACCAGGACCUAGGGAUAAGAUCCAUUAUAUAUUCAUUUUUAUUAUAUCACAACAGCCAUAAGGAAAUUACAAGGCAAACCUUAUCUGACUUCAAAGAGACAAAGAUCACAUUCUCUUUCUUAAAACCACAUAUUGAAAUAGCAUGUUAUGGAAAAGGACCUGGACUCUGCCAGCCCUGUGUUUGACUUUGGGGGCAAAUCUCAUAGCCACCUUUCUGUUUCUUUAUUGGUAUCCUCAAUCCAUGGAAUGGAAUGGUGCCGAUCUCCUGGAAGGAUGCACAGUGUCUCAGAUCUCUGACAGUACAGCGGCUCCUUGAUGUAGAGUUAUUUUGUUUGCUUCUCUGUGCAGUCCUCUAUAGGGCUUAACUACAUUGCCAUUUUUUGUUGUUGUUUCCAGAAAUCAUGGCAAGAUGAGAUUACUGCUUGAAACUUGCAAUCCUAUUAUCUGUCAGCCUAUGAAAGAUAAAAAGUGCCACCAGUGUCUCCAGAAAGUAAUUUUUCAGUAGCCAUAGGUGACAAGAAUUACAUUUCUUUACCAGGACAUCUUGAUGUGGCACAUCAUAAAUAUUCAAGUUCUAUAGACUUUAAAAUAAGAUAUAAUAUUUCCUUUCUUUUAAAACACUGGCUUCAAGGUCAUGUUCAAUAUGAUUCAAAAAGUAGGAACUAGGAAUUCUUAUCCAUGAGAGCAGAGAAGCCUUUGGGGAGUGGGCUGAAGAUUGAGGAAGUUGAAACUGAAAAAGAAGCACAGACUAGAAUCAUAAAUCAUAGGAUGUGGGGUAUCACGUUUGGACCCACACAAAUGGGGCCUGUGCUCUGGUCCCAUGUUUUCAAAAGUCUGGUUCCAACUCUUCUUCAGUUAUGCCUUCCCAUGGGAUGAGAAAUUCAGGAGACCAAGGGGGAUACCCACCUGGGGCCCAUGCUCUCUCUAACAUGUUCCAGGUAAUAGGAACUUUGGCACUCUCUGCCCCAAUACAAGCUCUGCAUGCAUUUCUUCCCCAGACCUGUUCUAUUGUGGACUCAAAGGGUAGUCAAGGAGUGGUGGCCACUUGAUAGGGACAUUGGGUAAGCCAAAGAUAGACAAUGGCUGGGUGAGCACGGCUGACUGUAAUACACAUGUAGAAAAGAUCUUUCAUUAUUUGAUCAGAUCCAGGAGAGGCAAGAGAGAAAGGGGUAAUGUGUGGGCCAGGGACCUCUGUUACUUAUUAUUUUCCUAAGCCUGUAAAUGUUAGGGGUAGUCCUGUGUGUCCAGACUAGUAACUCUUCAAGCAAAAACCCUGAAUUUGUUAAUAGUUCCUCACAGAAUUGAGUUGGCUGGCUCUUAAGCUAGAUUCAAUCCUCGUUGUUUUUGCUUCUGUCUGCCAUGUCACUAAUAGGAAACAGUUUGUAGGACUAAUAUUUGCACUCCUGGUCCAUAGCUCUGAUCCUUAAGAUACUGGGUUAACAAAACAGAGACUGUGUGGCCUGGAAUUUAGGAGAAUCCCAUGAUGUCCACAUCCCAUGGGAGGAAGGAGUGGCAUUCAUUCGGGGUCUGAGUCAGAAACUUUCAUGGAGGUUUUGGAAUGAAAUAAGCCUUGUCCUGAGACGUAGGCUAACUGGAUCCUGGACUAGCCCCAUAUCUCAAAGGGCUCCACUCUUUGCUUCCCUAAACUUUUUAAAUUUCCCUUCUAAUGCCUAGGAUAGGGAGGAGACAGCAGAGCCAUCCAGGGGCAGGGAGGAGGGGGGAAACUCCAUGGCCCUGUAUUGGGAACCAGGUGCUCAUUUCUCUCCUUUAUGGCAUUUUUCUUUCCUCUACCACUCACAUGGAGUCAACUAGAUGCACCAGAAGCUCUGAGUCUCAUGCCCAUCCUGUCUUCUUGGGGCCUGGACCCCAGUUCUAGGAGUGCUGUCUGGAGAUUUAGCAAGCAGAUGUCUUCUGCUGGCUGCCCAGGUCUUGCAGGCCAAGAUCGGCCCCCACCUCCUAAGGACGCCUCUUCUGUGUUACUGCUGAACUCUCCACCUUCCACCUUUUUGGAUCCUCCUGAAUUCCUGGGGACCCCACAGCUAGCCAGGAACCUCCCGCCCCCAGAUGUGCAUUCUUCCGCCCUGCCCCACCCCAUGUCCUGCCUCUCCCUGCCGCCAUUACUGGAAGCCAGGUAGCCAUGUGGCCCAACCACCAGUGUCAGGCUCCCCCCCUCCCCCAUCCUAAUGGGAUUCCCUGCUUCUGCUUCCCUGGCUGCCCUCUGGCAAAGUUUUAAAAGGACCUGUUCCUGACACGUGGCUCUCUAGCCUCCUCCUCUGGUCUCCUUUCUCUUCUCUCCUGCCCACUCUCUCCUCUCAUCUCUCUCUUCUCUCCUCACUAGCCCCUCUCCUCUCUUGUCUCUCUUACACUCUCCUCUCUCUUUUUUCCCUUCUUCACCCCACCCCUCUGGUCUGCUGGGUUUUAGGUCAAGUGCCUAAGCCCUACAUGGCCAACUGAAUAUGACAUCAUGGGCCUAAGGUGUUCUUAGGAAAAAUGCAACUGUAAAAAGACACUGAGUUUGAAGGAAGAAAGCCACAGAGGCCUAAAGAGUUAAAUGUUCUGUAAAAUCCUACAGAUGCUUUCAACAAUGCUAUGUGAAGUAUGUGCCUCUUGUUGAGUUUAUAAUGAGUUUAUAAUUUUAAAUGUGGCAACUUAAAGUCUUUUGUCAUCCACAGUUUUAUAUAUCAGAUUUGCUGCUCAUAAAACUAAAGCGUUGUUGGUUCUGUGCUUAGCUGCUCUCCUAUAAAUUCUGAUGGACUUUUUCCAGCCACUUCUAUUGUACUCAGUACUUUGGGAUGGCACUGUAAACAGAUGAAGCCAAUAAUGUAUUACAGGUACCAACUGAGAGAAAGUAUGGUUAGCUGAGGUUACUAACAGCAGAAAGUAAUUCGAAUCAAUUGGUAAGUCAAAAAAACAGUUAAAGAGUUUAAAAAGCUAGUAUCAAAACUGCUAUAUUUGUUAUCUAAUGAUUGAAACUGCUUUCUAAGUUUUCAUUUGAUAUUGCUAUUGUCAGUAAGUGAUCUGGGACUUGAGCACCCCCUUGACUUGCAUCCUCUGGUCUGCUUUAACAAAAACCAGGAGGAAGAGAAAGCUAGGCAUCAGAAAUGGAAAGAUAGGUGGCAGACCUAUUAAUAGCUGUUCUGCACAGUGAUCUGCCCUCAAGGAGACCCAACAGACCAGUCCACUGCAGUGGUUUUCAAUGUGGUAAGCCUGGGCUUCAGCAGAAGUCAGCUUGUGAAGAGCCCUGGCAGCUCUGCCAGCCAAGAGUUGGAUCACUGGAAAUGGACCUGCCCUGGAGUCGAAGGACUUCAGGUCAGAGCCACGGAUCUUGCUGGCUCUAAGCUGAAAAGCCCUUCACUCAGCCCAGCUUCCAAAGUGACCACCACAGCUGAGGGGAUGGCCAAGUAGGAUCAGCAGCACUGCAGGCAGAACUGUAAAUUUCCUGUUAGAGAUGCCACCUGCCUUUACCUGGCCAGCUUUUCUCCCAGGCCAGUUAGGUAAUGGAAGUCAACAGGGUGCCUUCGCCAAGGAGGUUCACACCUCCCUUAGGAUGUACCCUAUGAAGAGAUAGGUCUGGGCCUCUUAACUUAUAAGGCCUAAAGCCUACCAGAUUAUUAUCAAGCCCCUUCUGUCAGGUUUUAUUUGCCUCUCAAUCAGCAAACUUAGUCAUGGCUUAGACAGCACCUUUCUUGGGUCCUCUAGUAAUGAUUCUGUCCUUUGUUCUAGACCCUGUCUAGCCCACUUGGGUCUCAUUCCUUUGUAAUCAUAGCCUCUACUCAAACAUCAGUGGCUCUGCUAUCAACCUGUGUGUACUGAUGGUCCUCUCCUCCACUUAAUUUGCAUGAUUAUUCAGAAUUUCUCUACAGACAAACCCCUCUACAUGCAAAAGUUGAGUGGCCUUUCUCUCAGUCUUGGCUGGGAUCAGAUUUAAACCAUGUCCAUCAAACAAUCCUCACAAGGGUCCAGAGACCCCCCCCUCAUUUCCUCUCCUCUAUGAAAUCCUUUCAUUACCUGGUUAAUGCCACUCUUAGGAUCAUUGGUUGCUAUUCUCACCCUGACUUAUAUACUACAGUGUCUGUUUAAGUGUUUAUAGCAGGUGAUAAUGGAAUGAACCACGGCCUUCAGCAACCAGGCAGUCAACCAAAUGCUUCUCCAUCCAUACAUGCCUGUCCCUGCGGAGCCCCAAGAUACCCCCAGCGGGCCCCUGUAGACGACGUCCCCAGUCAGCAGGAAGUUGCCAGAGACUCAUCGUCGCCCCCUUUCCUAUCAUCAAAAGGUCGGGAUGAUAACUUCGGGAUCCACAAGGAGGGAAGGCCUAUACUUCUAGGAAUGGAGAGGCCUACUUCCGGGGAAGAAAGUCCUUGUCAAGGUCCCUGCGGGUGCCUAAAGGUCAACUAAUGAGGAUCAGACCUGCGUCAACCUUUAACCCCCAUGCCCUGAAUCUAUAAAAGGAGCCCUCCCAAUCUCUGACGCACGACUUCCCCGGCCCCCGCUCUGUUGCUCUGUUGGGACCGGGGAACCUUGCCCGGGAGCGGAACCCCAAUAAAAGCCUGUGAAUUAAUUGAUUUGUCUGCUUGGGAAGAUCUGUUACACGCCGGACACCUUACAAAUAAGGACUUACAUUUUGCAAAGAGCAGAAACCAAGAGGUUGAGGCAGGAGUUUUUAGUGUUUCAUUCUUCUUUUUUCUUUCUUUCUUUAUAUAUUUU